rnacentral:lncRNA from 1 species
CAUUCAUCCAGGUAAAACUGGUGUCUGGCAUUAUCUACGGCAUGCCCUAAGGUUUAAAGACAUCACCGAAGCUAAGAGAAUAGUAAAACGCUGUCUUUGACACGCCCUCUUUAUUUCUGCUAUCACCCUUUUCCACUGUGAAGACAUGGUUUCUCUGUACCCGUUGGAUUUCCUCCUUUUGUAGCAAAGAAGAGCAUCUGUCCGCCAGCCUGGGCUUUGUCUUCCCUUGCUCUGCGACUGCACCAGCACAGAAACGCUACAUAAGGAGGCUUUUCAGCAGCGGAGCCUGGCGUUGAACUCGUGCCAUGGGGAAUGAAUUCUUCCAUAGACCCCUCAUCCUCUUCUGGAAGUUAAAGAGGGGCGAUUUGCAAAAAAGCAUAUGUUACCCUUCCGCUCAGAUGAGCCUGUCUCCACUCCAACACUGACCAUGCAUGUUGUAAGAGGAACAACACUGGCCAACAGCCACAAUUCUCAGGCAUAUGUUUAC